AGAUACUACCAGACUGCUCACCAAUGUGGUUGUACUGAUUAUAUUUCCACUGCAAUUAUAUGAGUAUACCUGCUUCCCACACCCUUGCCAAGUCUGAAUAGUAUCAAAUAUUUUAGUUCUUGCCAGUCUGAUGAGUAUGGUAUAUCACUGUGGAAAAUUUUCCCCAAUUACCAGUGAGAGUGAGCAUAUUUUCUUAAGGUACACUUUCUCUUAUAUUGAUCACUUGUUCAUAUUUUUUCCAUUUUUUUCCCUUUUUGUGGGGAAGGGAAAAUCUUUUGGGGAGAGUUUAUAUGAGCUGUGUAUGUGUUCCAGAUAAUAAUCCCUUGUCAUUUGUAUGCAUUGCAAAAUUUCAUUAUAUUUAUUUAUUUAUUUUGCUCUUUAGGGUCACACCCCGUGACAUAUGGAGGUUCCCAGGCUAGGGGUCGAGUAAGAGCUACAGCUGUCAGCCUAUGCCAUGGUCACAGCAACGCAGGAUCUGAGGCACAUCUGUGACCUACACCAAAGCUCACGGCAACACUGGAUCCUUAACCCACAGAGCAAGGCCAGUGAUGGAACCCGCAACCUUACGGUUCUUAGUUGGAUUUGUUUCUGCUGCACCACAAUGGGAACUCCAAAAUUUUCUUUUAGAUUUUGCCUUUUUUUAAACUUUGUGAAUGGUGUCUUUUGUACAGAAGGAUUUUGUCCUUAAUAGAGCCAAAUUCAUCCAUCAUUUCUCUAUGUUUUACUUUCCAUUGGCUCAAAAAAAUUUGUGGAUUUGCAUUACGUAUUUUGUCUUUUUUUUCUCAACUUCCUUGUGCCUGCUCCACCUUGCUGCUCUUGGCAUAUGUGUGCAGCGAAGACUUGGGGAGACAUCUGAGCCCAUGGCUGUCCUAGUGCUCAUUCCUGAAAUGCACUGACACCAACUCCAAUGACUGGCACCAAUUCCUCCCUUGCUAGGGAAUUAGGAAAAAUCAACUUGCUGGAAAGAGGUAGGCCUUUGGCUGGGGUUUGGAAUUAUUUAUGGUUGUAGACAUUUGUCUUUGUAAGGUCUUAAUUACCUUUAACUCUCCAUGCCAGAAAAAUAAAUCUUAUUAUUAGACAAUCAAGCACACAUGGUGUCCAGGAGAUAGAGGGGAAAAAAUAGAAGGAAAAUAAGAGCUCUUUCCCUUCCAUUCAUGCAUUCACUCAUCCAUUUGUCUAGUCAGUGAGUUAGUCAAUCAACACAUAUUUAUUUUGUCCAGUCAGUGAGUUAGUCAAUCAACACAUAUUUGUUAAAUACUUGCUGUAUCAAGUACUUGGCUGUGAGUUUGGGACACAAAGAAAGAAAUAUCACUGCUCUUGUGGAGCUGACUUUCUAGCUACACAUUUAUCUCAUUUGUCACAAUGAAUUGGUAUCAGAUCCCCCUUGAAUAUGACAUCUGGGACCCUUUUUCAUGUGAUGGCAGAUUUAGAGAAAUCUCAUUGUGCCAUAAUUGUAUUUCUUUAAAACCUGUGUGGUUUAGGGUAUGAAUUUGGAGUGGGUUUGUGGAUAGCACAAUAAAGACAAUGCAACAUGUACAAACUUCCAGGGUAGUCAUGUGAGCUGAGUAUUUCAACAUGUCUCAAUACAAUUCUGAGUUAUUAUAGCUAAAGAUAAAGGUGAAGUCACUUAGAUUUUCAAUACAAAUUCACUGAGCUCUAACAAGGGCACCAGCUCUGCAAUGGGCCAGGCAUUUUGUUGGGGCUCAGACUCACUAGGUGAGGGACUGCAUUGAUUUUCACCUUGGCCUCUCUUUGGGUUUCCUACCACUUCUCUCUUUUCUCCAGACUUCUGGAAUGUCCUGAGAAAAGAGACAAAACUUAAAAAAAAAAAAAAAAAAAGGAAUGAAUUUUUUCAUGAAAAGCACAUUCAAAAGAAUAGGUAUUGGCUCCCUAACUUUAGACUAUGCUACAAAGCUACAGUCAUCAAAACGGUAUGGUACUGGCACAAAAACAAAUACAGAUCAAUGGAACAAGAUAGAAAGCCCAGAAAUAAUACACACACCUAUGGUCAAUUAUCUAUAACGAAGGAAGCAAGAACAUACAGUGGAAGAAAGACAGUCUCUUCAAUAAGUGGUGCUGAGAAAACUGGACACUUACAUGUAAAAGAAUGAAAUCAGAACAUUCUCUAGCACCACACACAGAUAAUAAACCCUAGAUUGAUUAAAGACCUAAAUAUAAGGCUGGAUACUAUAAAACUCUUAGAGGAAAACAUAAGCAGAACACUCUUUGACAUAAAUUGCAGUGAUAUCCUUUUGGAUUCACCUUCCAGAGUAAUGAAGAUAAAAACAAAAAUAAACAAAUGGAAUCCAAUUAAACUUAAAAGCUUUUGCAUGGCAAGGGGAACUAUAAACAAAACAAAACAAAACAAAAAACAACCCACAGAAUGGGAGAGGAUAUUUGCAAACAAAGUGCCUGCAAGGGAUUAAUCUCCAAAAUAUACAAAUGGCUCAUGCAGCUCUAUAUCAAAAAACAAAAACCAAACAAACUAAAACCAAAUAAACAACAACAAAAAAACCCCAACAAGUAACCCAAUCAAAAAAUGGGCAGAAAAUCUAGGUGGACAUUUCUCCAAGGAAGACAUACAGAUGCCCCAAAGCACAUGAAAAUAUGCUCAACAUCACUAAUUAUUACAGAAAUGCAAAUCAAGGCUACAGUAAGUCAUCAUCUCAUGCUAGUCAAAAUGGCCAUCAUCAAAAUCUACAAAAAAACAAAUGCUGGAUAGAGCAUGGAGAAAAGGGAACCCUCCUACACUAUUAGUGGGAAUGUAAUUAGUAUAACUACUAUGGAGAAUAGCAUGGAGGUUCCUUAAAAAACUAAAACUAGAACUACUAUAUGAUCAAGCAAUCCCACUCCAGGGCAUAUAUCUGGAGAAAAUCAUAAUUCAAAAAGAUACAUGCACCCCAGUGUUCACUGCAGCACUAUUUACAGUGGCCAGGACACGGAGGCCACCUGAACGUCCAUCGACAGAGGAAUGGAUAAAGAAGAUGUGGUACAUACGAACAAUGGAAUAUUACUCAGGCAUUAGAAAAGAAUGAAAUAAUGCCAUUGCAGCAACAUAGUUGGACCUAAGGAUUGUCAUGCUAACUGAAGUAAGUCAGACAGAGAAGGACAAAUAUGCGAUAUCACUCGAAUGUAGAAACUAAUAAAAAUGAUACAAUCGAACUUAUUUACAAAACAGAAACAGACUCACAGACUUUAAAAACAAAUUUAUGGAGUUCCUGUUGUGGCGCAGUGGUUAACGAAUCCGACUAGGAACCCUGAGGUUGCGGGUUUGAUCCCUGGCCUUGCUCAGUGGGUUAAGGAUCCGGCGUUGCCCGAGAGCCGUGGUGUAGGUCGCAGACGCAGCUUGUUUGCCGCAUUGCUAUGGCUCUGGCGUAGGCCUGCGGCUACAGCUCUGAUUCGAACCCUAGCUUGGGAACCUCCACAUGCCACGGAAGUGGCCCUAGAAAAGGCAAAAAGACAAGAAAAAAACCCAACAAACAAAUUUAUGGUUACCAAGGGGGAAACAUUGGGAGGAGGGAUGAAUUAGGAGUUUGGGAUUAACAUAUACACACUGCUACAUGUAAAAUAGGUUAUCAAUGAGGACCGACUGCAUAGCACAGAGAAUUCCACCCAAUAUUCUUUAAUAACCAGUAUGGGAAAAGAACCUGAAAAAGAAUGGCUAUAUGUAUAUAUAUAUAACUGAAUCCCUUUGCUAUAUACCUGAAACUAACACAAAAAUUGCAAAUCAACUACACUCCAAAUGAAAUAAAAAUUAAAUGAAAAAAAAAAAGAAUAGGUAUUCAACCACUCCAUUUUGCAGGAAAAACAACCCUGAGUCACAUGUGUGCACAUGUGCACAGGUGCAUAAAUACCACCUCCAAGGACAAAUGCCAAACUGUAGCAAUGUUACUGUUGGGGUUUUCAGGGUGGGGAGGGGUGGAUCAUGGGCGAUAUUUUCCUUAUUGCUGAAUACAUUUCCAUAAUAACUGGAUGCUUUAUAAUGACAGUAUGCUAUAAUUCCAAAAAAGAAAGAUAAUUUUAAGAUAUUUUCUGUAGCUUUGGACAGUCACUUUUUGGGCAAUGCUGAGAUCUAGAAAUAGUACUCAGCCCCUUAGGGACUCCUGCCUGAUCUCAGACCUGUCCGUCCUUAUACGUUGCAUAAUUUCAUAGGAUAUAAAUAAAAUAUUUAUAAAAUAAGAUAUUAAAUUAAUAUUUUUUUGGUUCUUUCUUUUUUUUUUUUUUUGGCCAAACCCAUGGCAUAUGGAAAUUCCCUGGCCAGGGAUCAAACCUGUGCCUCAGGAAUGACCCAAGUCGCUGCUGAGACAACUCUGGAUCCUUAACCUGCUGUGCCGCAAGGGACCCUCAAUAUUUUGUAGUGUUUCAUAGCUCACAAAAAAGUAUUUCUCUUCUAGUAAUACAUCGAGAGUUGAUUUUUACAACAGUUCAGAGAGGUGGGGUCUAACAGUUCCAUGUUGCAGAUAAGGAAACAGACUCUAAGAAGCGAAAUUACUUGCCCAGUAUUGAAGUGUACUUGGGAUCUCUGUCCUGCUGCCAUUGAAUUAACUUUCUUGGAAACAGCAGCCCUGUUUGCCCCCCAUCACUGUCUCCAGGACCAGGAGUGGAAAGCUGACCCAGACUCAGCCAAUCAGCUGUCCUUUCCCAGGAAACUGAAUUUAGGACUGAGUCACAAUCCACCUGUGGCUGGACCCACAACUGGGAGGUAUGAGGUGUAAAGCAGCCAUCUCCUGUCUGCUUCAUGGGCAGGAGCUGGUGACCAGGUCGAGAGAGGCAGUGAGGAAAGGUAGAGAGGAAACCUGCUUUUUCUAGUCACCUGCUGACAAGUCCCCUUCCUGAGGCUCAGCUGCAGCCUCGAUCUUGGAUCCCACGAGACACCGCCCUAUCUUAAUCCUGCUUGAGUGUGGCUUCAUGUUCUUGAAACUACAGUCCCCAGACCCUCAGCCGGCAAGUGACAGAACCCGACAUCACCCAUGGGUAAGUCACCCACUCUCCCUUAGGUCCUGUCCCCUCUGUGCUGUCACCUCCACCACUUCAGCAACCACGCCUCAAGGCUUCGACUGAGGGUGGUGUAGAGAAACACUGUUUCCCUACAGGGAUGCAGCUGUGGGAGGCAAGCAACAGAUGUGCUGCAUGAAUCAGAUUUAUUUGGGUGUAAACACUGCACAAAUUUGGGUGUGUAGGUAUGGGCGCACCCCUUCACUUCGUGUCAACAGCAACACUGGGCUGCACCCCCUCUCCAUAGUAUGAGGGAUUCCAGAGAGGUGGUUGUUGUUCUUUGUUAAUAAGUAUCCACAAGCACACCCUUCCCCUUAGGCAUGUUGCCCAGGUGUGUCUGUGAGGGGGUGCAGGUGGGGCGCAGCGCAGGUGUGUGGUCGGAAACAAAAAGAAGCAAAGUGUGCCUGCUUCGAGACACAUCUGCCCUCCGUUCUCUGCUUUCACUCUUUGUUAAUAGAGACCUAAAAAGUGUAGUGCGGUGGGCUGGCUGCAUUAAUAGUCUCAAUCCUUCAGCCCUCCCUGGGUUCACAAUCCUUCACAGAUAGCUUUGCAGAUCACCUCCGCCUUCACCCCCCAACCCAACAUGUGUACACACACACACACACACACACACACACACACACAUGCACUCUGAUUCUGUGGUUCUCUUUAGCUAAUGGAAUGCUGGCAAAUGCAAGGUCCGCUGAGGCUUGAAAAAGCUUUUGUGCCUCUCCACCUCCUUGCUUCUCUGCAGU
rnacentral:lncRNA from 1 species